AGUAAUUGGGUUCCAGAUCACCUUGACCAACGAAACAUCCUUGGUCCUCAACCGCUUAAUCUUCCUGUCAUCAAUUCUCACGGGUGGUACUUCGAACGACAGGUUAUCCUUUAGCUGGAUUGUGUCUGGUUCGAUCACGUGAGAUGGAUCUGCGAGGUACUUCCUCAAUUGUGACACAUGAAACACGUCAUGAAUAUUGGACAGUAUCGGAGGUAAUGCAAUCCGAUAAGCAACCGGCCCAAUUCGUGCAGAAAU
rnacentral:lncRNA from 1 species